rnacentral:rRNA from 1 species
UACGUAGGGGGCAAGCGUUGUCCGGAAUCAUUGGGCGUAAAGCGCGUGUAGGCGGCUCGAUAAGUCUGCUGUGAAAGUCCAGGGCUCAACCCUGGGAUGCCGGGUGGAUACUGUCGAGCUUGAGUCCGGAAGAGGCGAGUGGAAUUCCUGGUGUAGCGGUGAAAUGCGCAGAUAUCAGGAGGAACACCUAUGGCGAAGGCAGCUCGCUGGGACGUGACUGACGCUGAGACGCGAAAGCGUGGGGAGCAAACAGG